rnacentral:rRNA from 1 species
GACGAACGCUGGCGGCGUGCCUAAUACAUGCAAGUCGAACGCAGUGGGGACGGGUGAGUAACACGUGGGUAACCUCCCAUCAGAGGGGAUAACACUUGGAAACAGGUGCUAAACCGAUACUGAUGGAUGGACCUGCGGUGCAUUAGCUAGUUGGUGGGGUAACGGCUAACCAAGGCCACGAUGCAUAGCCGGUCUGAGAGGGUGACCGGCCACACUGGGACUGAGACACGGCCCAGACGCCUACGGGAGGCAGCAGUGGGGAAUUUUGGACAAUGGGCGAAAGUCUGAUCUAGCAAUGCCGCGUGUGUGAAGAAGGUUUUCGGGUUGUAAAGCACUGUUGGUAGAGAAGCGGUAUCUGAAGAAUAAGCCCCGGCUAACUACGUGCCAGCAGCCGCGGUAAUAC